UCCGGAAUAACUGGGCGUAAAGGGCGCGUAGGCGGCCUGAUAAGUAGGGGGUGAAAUCCUGCGGCUUAACCGCAGGGCUGCCUUCUAAACUGUCAGGCUCGAGCACAGUAGAGGCAGGUGGAAUUCCCGGUGUAGCGGUGGAAUGCGUAGAGAUCGGGAAGAACAUCAGUGGCGAAGGCGGCCUGCUGGGCUGUUGCUGACGCUGAGGCGCGACAGCGUGGGGAGCAAACAGG
rnacentral:rRNA from 1 species